AUUGAACGCUGGCGGCAGGCUUAACACAUGCAAGUCGAACGAUGAAACCUAGCUUGCUAGGUGGAUUAGUGGCGGACGGGUGAGUACAACUUAGGAAUCUACCUAUUAGCGGGGGAUAGCUCGGGGAUACUCGAAUUAAUACCGCAUACUCCUUACGAGGGAAAGGGGCCUGACCACUAAAUUUAAUUUAUAGUGUAUUUUAUUUACAAUAAUAUAAUUAAGUUAAAUUUAGUGGUCAGGUCUCACUAAUAGAUGAGCCUAAGCAAGAUUAGCUAGUUGGUGGGGUAAAAGCCUACCAAGGCGACGAUCUUUAGCUGGUCUGAGAGGAUGAUCAGCCACACUGGGACCGAGACACGGCCCAGACUCCUACGGGAGGCAGCAGUGGGGAAUAUUGGACAAUGGGGGAAACCCUGAUCCAGCCAUGCCGCGUGUGUGAAGAAGGCCUUUUGGUUGUAAAGCACUUUAAGCAGUGAGGAAAAGCUAGAUGUUAAUACCAUCUAGCCCUGACGUUAACUGCAGAAUAAGCACCGGCUAACUCUGUGCCAGCAGCCGCGGUAAUACAGAGGGUGCAAGCGUUAAUCGGAAUUACUGGGCGUAAAGAGAACGUAGGUGGUCAAUUAAGUCAAAUGUGAAAUCCCUGAGCUCAACUUAGGAACUGCAUUUGAUACUGGUUGACUAGAGUAGGUGAGAGGAGAGUAGAAUUCCAGGUGUAGCGGUGAAAUGCGUAGAUAUCUGGAGGAAUACCGAUGGCGAAAGCAGCUCUCUGGCAUCAUACUGACACUGAGGUUCGAAAGCGUGGGUAGCAAACGGG
rnacentral:rRNA from 1 species